rnacentral:rRNA from 1 species
ACUCCUACGGGAGGCAGCAGUGGGGAAUAUUGCACAAUGGGGGAAACCCUGAUGCAGCCAUGCCGCGUGUGUGAAGAAGGCCUUCGGGUUGUAAAGCACUUUCAGUAGGGAGGAAGGUAGUGUAGUUAACACCUGCAUUAUUUGACGUUACCUACAGAAGAAGCACCGGCUAACUCCGUGCCAGCAGCCGCGGUAAUACGGAGGGUGCGAGCGUUAAUCGGAAUUACUGGGCGUAAAGCGCAUGCAGGCGGCCUGUUAAGUCAGAUGUGAAAGCCCGGGGCUUAACCUCGGAAUUGCAUUUGAAACUGGCAGGCUAGAGUCUUGUAGAGGGGGGUAGAAUUUCAGGUGUAGCGGUGAAAUGCGUAGAGAUCUGAAGGAAUACCAGUGGCGAAGGCGGCCCCCUGGACAAAGACUGACGCUCAGAUGCGAAAGCGUGGGGAGCAAACAGGAUUAGA